GGAGUGGGCCGGGCGGUCGCCGGCCGGUCUCGCAGGUGGGCAUCUCCCCGCCCCCCGCGGGUCUGGCGGGAGGAAAGUCCGGGCUCCACAGGGCACGAUGGUGGGUAACGCCCACCGGCCGCAAGGCCAGGGAAAGUGCAACAGAAAGCAAACCGCCUCGCGGCUGAACCCCGCGCGGUAAGGGUGAAACGGUGGGGUAAGAGCCCACCAGCAGGCCGGGCGACCGGCCUGGCUAGGCAAACCCCAUCGGGAGCAAGGCCAAGUAGAGAGGAAGGCGGCUGCUACCGGCCAACCACGGCCAGCAGCCGCCGCGGACCGGCCCGGGCCGUUCACCACUCUCGGGUAGGCUGCUCGAGGGGCCGGGUAACCGGCCUCCUAGAGAAAUGACCGCCAACUCGCCCAAGGCGAGUUACAGAACCCGGCUUACAGGCCCACUCCGGAC
rnacentral:RNase_P_RNA from 1 species